UUUGCCCUACAUAUAAAAAUUAUUAUAAAUUAUAAAGAGGUUUUAUAAAUAUUAAAUUCUUAUUGUAUAUAGAGCUAAGCUCCCAACUUCCUAUAAUUCCUCUUCAAAAUACUUGAUUAACGUUUUAUUUAGUUAUUUUAAUCGGCUCUUUAGAAUGUCUGUUUUGUGUAUAUCUUUAUUAUAUUUUAGUGUAAGUAUAAUAUGUAACAGCCUUAAUUUUGUAGGAAUCCGAUUGCUUAAAAUUUUGUGUUGCUGUAAGUAUUUAAGACUCCAUCGCUUUCCUUGGUUUCCUCUAAGAACAAUGACGAGGUUAAUUUCUGAAGGUGUAUUUAAAUCUGAAACCUUUUAAGUGCAAAGUCAAGGGUCGUCUGAUCUUAUUAUGAGGAAAUACUUGCACUGCCAAGUUGAAGGCCGGAUUUCCACCGAAAACAGACUCUCCGACGAAAUCGGUGAAAUACAAAGAGUAGCAGACGUGAGCCAUCCAGCAGAAGAGAUUUGUAAGACACACGACCCGUAAAGAUUUUGGCAUCUGUAUAAUGGAUUUGAGGUAGUGUUUCAGAGACAAAGGCUCGCCGUGCCCUUCGGGUAUAGUCAGAUUUUUAACCGUCCCAUGGGAACUCUUCAAUUUAUCGAAAACAAAAGUAUGUUACAUGUCGUCUAGGAUACCACCAUAAAAAAAUUAUCGGUCCAGCCGUCUCGGAGUGGACCCAUAUAAAUAGACAAACAAACGGAUAAACAAAAAGGAAUUAAAAUAUUUCUAUUUCAUUUCUCACAUCCACCUGACUCAGUUUUAACAUAAUAAUUUUUUAAUUUACAGAAAUUUUACCUCAAAAAUUUCAUUAUAUGUAUAUAGAUAAGAAAAUAUUUUUGAAG